rnacentral:piRNA from 1 species
AGUAUAAACACACUGGUUCACCUCUUUAG